AACGACGCUGGCGGCGCGCCUAACACAUGCAAGUCGAGCGAGAAAGUCCCUUCGGGGGCGAGUAAAGCGGCGGACGGGUGAGUAAUACAUGGAUAAUCUUCCCUCGAGCCUGGGAUAACCCUGCGAAAGUGGGGCUAAUACCGGAUAAGACCACAUGACACAUGUCACGGGGUAGAAGGUGGCUUGUAUUUAUAUGAGCUAUCACUUGAGGAUGAGUCCAUGGCCUAUCAGCUAGUUGGUGAGGUAAGAGCUUACCAAGGCUAUGACGGGUAGCUGGUCUGAGAGGACGACUAGCCACACUGGGACUGAGACACGGCCCAGACUCCUACGGGAGGCAGCAGUGGGGAAUAUUGGGCAAUGGGCGAAAGCCUGACCCAGCGACGCCGCGUGGGUGAUGAAGGCCUUCGGGUUGUAAACUGCUUUUCCACGGGAAGAACCCUCCGACGUGUCGGAGACCGACGGUACCGUGGGAAUAAGCAUCGGCUAACUCCGUG
rnacentral:rRNA from 1 species